AACGAACGCUGGCGGCAGGCCUAAAACAUGCAAGUCGAACGAACCUUCGGGUUAGUGGCGCACGGGUGAGAAACACGUGGGAACGUACCCUUUGGCGCGGAACAACGUCUGGAAACGGACGCUAAUACCGCAUAAUAUCUACGGAUCAAAGAUUUAUAGCCAAAGGAACGGACCGCGUUAGAUUAGGUAGUUGGUAGGGUAAUGGCCUACCAAGCCCACGAUCUAUAGCUGUUUUGAGAUGAUGAUCAGCCACACUGGGACUGAGACACGGCCCAGACUCCUACGGGUGGCAGCAGUUAGGAAUAUUGGACAGUGGGGGAAACCCUGAGCCAGCCAUGCCGCGUGUGUGAAGAAGGCCUUAGGGUUGUAAAGCACUUUCAUCUGCGAAGAUAAUGACAGUAACAGAAGAAGAAGCUCCGGCUAAAUUCGUGCCAGCAGCCGCGGUAA
rnacentral:rRNA from 1 species